GGGAGAGUUCACAGUUCUGUGAAAUGUGGGGCUCUCCUUUCCGUGGGGCCCCACGGACAGUUUCUCCAGACACGGGUCAAAGGCCUUCUAUAGACACCCGAGAAGUUCUGCAGAUGUUCUCCAAUGUGGACUCACUUCAAGAAGUGGAGUCUUUAGUACCUGGGAGCCCAACAUAAGAGGUGGAAGUGAGCCCGGAAUCGGAAAGGAAAGCAGGAAACCUUAGUGAUGAGGAGCAAAACUCCACUUCUGCUCCAUGGAAAGUCCAAAGGCGGCUAUGAACCAAAGCCUCAUCGUCAGAGGCUCAACAACAGCCAAGAGAGCAAGCAAGAGCAUUGACUAUGGAGACUGUCGGGCAGCAGGAUGUAAAUUUUACCCAACUGUUGAUUCUGACUCUUCUGGCCUCGCUGGAAACAUCCAGCACCUCUUAGGUGCUGGCAGACAGAAGUUGCUUGCUUGACAAACUGAGUCACUAAGCGAUUCCUGAUUUUGUAGACCAGGCACCUCUGGAAUUAAAUACAGCUCAGCUGAGACCCUCCAAAGACUCAUUUCACACUUCGCAAAACCAGUUCCGUCCAAACCGGGACAUCCUGUGGGCUGGCUUGAUCAAGGGAGCCUCCCACCAGUUGCAGAUGGUGAGAACCAUUCUGGGAAUGGCAAGUGAGACGAGGGGCACUGCUGCUCCUCUCCCCCCCACCAGCUCUAAAGCUGCCUCGCCAGCCUCUGAAUCUGAGCUGUCCUUUCUAGAAAAGAAAAGAAAAAAGAAAAGAAAAACCCAGUUUUCCUUUGGAGGCAUGCAGACACUGAACAGGCUCACCCACGAGCUCAGUUUGGGACAGGAACUGCCUAACGCUCAGAAGGAGAACCAAUGCAGGCAGCAGCUGGGAAGGUCUUGGAGAGCCAUUAGACCCCUCCAAAGAGGUCAACGUUCUCUGAACUUCUCCUGAGAGGCAAAGCUGAACCUGAAGUGCAAACAAGUGCUUUCUCUCUUUUGGAAAACAAAACUUGUCUUCUGCAACUGGAACUGAGCAGAUGUCAAACGUGGACAGGAC